AUACGGAGGGGGCUAGCGUUGUUCGGAAUUACUGGGCGUAAAGCGCGCGUAGGCGGCUUAUCAAGUUAGGCGUGAAAGGCCUGGGCUCAACCCGGGAACUGCGCUUAAUACUGAUAGACUAGAGACCGAGAGAGGAUGGCGGAAUUCCCAGUGUAGAGGUGAAAUUCGUAGAUAUUGGGAAGAACACCGGUUGCGAAGGCGGCCAUCUGGAUCGGAACUGACGCUGGGGUGCGAAAGCGUGGGGAGCGAACAGGAUUAGAAACCCGAGUAGUCC
rnacentral:rRNA from 1 species